rnacentral:rRNA from 1 species
CAUAUCAAUAAGCGGAGGAAAAGAAACUAACAAGGAUUCCCCUAGUAACUGCGAGUGAAGCGGGAAAAGCUCAAAUUUAAAAUCUGGCAGCCUUCGGUUGUCCGAGUUGUAAUCUAGAGAAGUGUUAUCCGCGCUGGACCGUGUACAAGUCUCCUGGAAUGGAGCGUCAUAGAGGGUGAGAAUCCCGUCUUUGACACGGACUGCCAGGGCUUUGUGAUGCGCUCUCAAAGAGUCGAGUUGUUUGGGAAUGCAGCUCAAAAUGGGUGGUAAAUUCCAUCUAAAGCUAAAUAUUGGCGAGAGACCGAUAGCGAACAAGUACCGUGAGGGAAAGAUGAAAAGAACUUUGGAAAGAGAGUUAAACAGUACGUGAAAUUGCUGAAAGGGAAACGCUUGAAGUCAGUCGCGUUGUUUGGGAAUCAACCUUGCUUUUGCUGGGCGUACUUUCCAGAUGACGGGCCAGCAUCAAUUUUGACCGUUGGAUAAAGGCUGGAGGAAUGUGGCAUCUUCGGAUGUGUUAUAGCCUCUGGUUGUAUACAACGGUUGGGAUUGAGGAACUCAGCACGCCGCAAGGCCGGGUACUUGUACCACGUUCGUGCUUAGGAUGCUGGCAUAAUGGCUUUAAUCGACCCGUCUUGAAACACGGACCAAGGAGUCUAACAUGCCUGCGAGUAUUUGGGUGGAAAACCCGAGUGCGUAAUGAAAGUGAAAGUUGAGAUCCCUGUCGCGGGGAGCAUCGACGCCCGGACCAGACCUUUUGUGACGGAUCUGCGGUAAAGCAUGUAUGUUGGGACCCGAAAGAUGGUGAACUAUGCCUGAAUAGGGUGAAGCCAGAGGAAACUCUGGUGGAGGCUCGUAGCGAUUCUGACGUGCAAAUCGAUCGUCAAAUUUGGGUAUAGGGGCGAAAGACU